rnacentral:rRNA from 1 species
AGAGUUUGAUCCUGGCUCAGGACGAACGCUGGCGGCGUGCUUAACACAUGCAAGUCGAACGGUGACGAAGAGCUUGCUCUUCUGAUCAGUGGCGAACGGGUGAGUAACACGUGAGCAACCUACCCUUGACACUGGGAUAACAGUUGGAAACAGCUGCUAAUACCGGAUAUGAACCUCACAGGCAUCUGAGAGGUUGGAAAGCUCCGACGGUCAAGGAUGGGCUCGCGGCCUAUCAGCUUGUUGGUGAGGUAACGGCUCACCAAGGCGACGACGGGUAGCCGGCCUGAGAGGGCGACCGGCCACACUGGGACUGAGAUACGGCCCAGACUCCUACGGGAGGCAGCAGUGGGGAAUAUUGCGCAAUGGGCGAAAGCCUGACGCAGCAACGCCGCGUGCGGGAUGACGGCCUUCGGGUUGUAAACCGCUUUCAGCAGGGACGAAACUGACGGUACCUGCAGAAGAAGCACCGGCUAACUACGUGCCAGCAGCCGCGGUGAUACGUAGGGUGCGAGCGUUGUCCGGAAUUAUUGGGCGUAAAGAGCUCGUAGGCGGUCUGUCGCGUCGGAAGUGAAAACUCGGGGCUCAACCCCGAGCCUGCUUUCGAUACGGGCAGACUUGAGGAAUGUAGGGGAGAACGGAAUUCCUGGUGGAGCGGUGGAAUGCGCAGAUAUCAGGAGGAACACCAGUGGCGAAGGCGGUUCUCUGGACAUUAACUGACGCUGAGGAGCGAAAGCGUGGGGAGCAAACAGGCUUAGAUACCCUGGUAGUCCACGCCGUAAACGGUGGGCACUAGGUGUGGGGAACAUUCCACGUUCUCCGUGCCGUAGCUAACGCAUUAAGUGCCCCGCCUGGGGAGUACGGCCGCAAGGCUAAAACUCAAAGGAAUUGAC